rnacentral:rRNA from 1 species
CCUACGGGAGGCAGCAGUAGGGAAUUUUCGUCAAUGGGCGCAAGCCUGAACGAGCGAUGCCGCGUGAGUGAAUAAGGCCUUCGGGUCGUAAAGCUCUGUUGCGGGGGAAAAAAGGCAGCAUCAGGAAAUGGGUGCUGACUGAUGGUGCCCCGCCAGACAGUCACGGCUAACUACGUGCCAGCAGCCGCGGUAAUACGUAGGUGGCGAGCGUUAUCCGGAAUGAGUGGGCGUAAAGGGUGCGCAGGCGGUCCUGCAAGUCUGGAGUGAAACGCAUGAGCUCAAAUCAUGCAUGGCUUUGGAAACUGGAGGACUGGAGAGCAGGAGAGGGCGGUGGAACUCCAGGUGUAGCGGUAAAAUGCGUAGAUAUAUGGAAGAACACCAGUGGCGAAGGCGGCCGACUGGCCUGUUGCUGACGCUGAGGCACGAAAGCGUGGGGAGCAAAUAGGAUUAGAUACCCCGGUAGUC